UACGUAGGGGGCAAGCGUUGUCCGGAAUCAUUGGGCGUAAAGCGCGCGUAGGCGGCCCGGUAAGUCCGCUGUAAAAGUCCAGGGCUCAACCCUGGAAAGCCGGUGGAUACUGUCGGGCUAGAGUCCGGAAGAGGCGAGUGGAAUUCCUGGUGUAGCGGUGGAAUGCGCAGAUAUCAGGAAGAACACCCGUGGCUAAGGCGGUUCUCUAGUACGGUACUGACGCUGAGACGCGAAAGCGUGGGGAGCAAACAGG
rnacentral:rRNA from 1 species